CCUCUGGCCCAAAUCACCCAUCACUGUGAAUUCAGACUGAGUGAAGAGGGGACAACAACCUUGAAGGGCUCGUGGCUGUGGAAAGGCUCCUCUUCCAACACAAAAUGAUGAACUCCCUGAUGUUGGCAAAUGUCACGCAUGGCCUUCCACGUUUGGAAACAAUUUUGGGCAACUUAACUCCAGGAGAUGCAGCCUCUUUAAGAUGAAAGACUCUCAAACUCAAUUGUCAUCUGCAGCCCUCAGAAGAAAAGAACAAAGAACACGCUGAAAGGGGAGACGGUCAUGUAGUUCACUAACAUCACCUUUUGGUACCGAACAGCUGGCUUUGGCUUUUGUUCACAAAACCAUGGAUCUCCUCACCAUUUGACGUAACAGCAGAGAACAUAAAGAAACAGCAAGU